AACGAACGCUGGCGGCAGGCUUAACACAUGCAAGUCGAGCGCCCCGCAAGGGGAGCGGCAGACGGGUGAGUAACGCGUGGGAAUCUACCGAGCCCUAAGGAAUAGCUCCGGGAAACUGGAAUUAAUACCUUAUACGCCCUUUGGGGGAAAGAUUUAUCGGGGUUUGAUGAGCCCGCGUUGGAUUAGCUAGUUGGUGGGGUAAAGGCCUACCAAGGCGACGAUCCAUAGCUGGUCUGAGAGGAUGAUCAGCCACAUUGGGACUGAGACACGGCCCAAACUCCUACGGGAGGCAGCAGUGGGGAAUAUUGGACAAUGGGCGCAAGCCUGAUCCAGCCAUGCCGCGUGAGUGAUGAAGGCCUUAGGGUUGUAAAGCUCUUUCACCGGUGAAGAUAAUGACGGUAACCGGAGAAGAAGCCCCGGCUAACUUCGUGCCAGCAGCCGCGGUAAGAC
rnacentral:rRNA from 1 species